AACAAUGGGUAACCUGACAUUGUAUCAGAAAGUCAGUAAUAUGAGACCACUAAUCCCCCACCCAGAAAUAUCUCGUCCCCAGAAGUGCUCUGCACCAAUUAUUCUGGCUAAUACAGUACACACAUGGGUACAUACAAUAGGACCGAUUUUCUGUGUUUUGUGUAAAGUAUAGGUAAUAAUUACUGUGAUCGAGAAGAAAAAAUAAGUUUACAUUUUCCAUUCCCCUCCAUGGCACUGUUGCUGACCUUGUUGCUCUCCUCUAACAGGCCUUUGAAAUGCAAAUUCAAAACUUCGGGCAGACUCGGUCUCAGUUACUGGUGGAGUCUCGCCCACCUUGCUCUUCGGCUAUACAUUAGGCGAGUAUUUUCUGCACAGUACCUCUCCAACUUGGUAUUGUACAAAACAUUUUUAUAUAAAGAAUUGUUUUUUCUGUAUCAGUAAACCGAGUCAGUUUGGUGUGUUUCUCCUUUAUGUUACUGAUAUGCUUGGCUUCAGAUGUUAUUCAGUACAGUAAUGUGUAUGAAAAGAUGGUGUUAUUUAUUGUUAUUCUAUGCAAUUCUUUGUCACAUCCCAUGCGAUAUAUUUUGCUUCUCGUUUUAUCCGAAUCCGUUUUUGCAGUCACCGUCGAUAUUCUCUGGCGAGGACGAGUGUAUGGCGAUGAAGUUCGCGAACAACUUCCCCCAGCUGCCUCACCCUUCUGUCAUUAGACUCAUUACCAUCACAAAUAAUCAACCCCUGGAACACCAAUCACUCAGAGUCUCGCAGGUAUGCCGAAGGUGGCCCGUCACCGACCACACUCUCGUCUCCAUCCGUGGAUCUCGUACCACAACAAGCUGCCUCGGACAACGGCAGCAGGAGCGCGACCCGGGAGAUGACUAAAGUCGGAAGGUCGACACGAGGAGCAACUGCCGUGGAACAACCGUAGACUCUAUCACCGCCCGCGGUGGCUUCCGGCACGACACGUUCCGUGCGUUCUCUACAGAGACGGACGAUCGCGGGCGAGGGAGACUCCCCAACACCCCGGACGACACUCGCUAGUCACGAAACCGAGGCCUAGGCAGUUGUCACUUCAGCAGAGUUGGGCCUCCUUGUCUGUUUCUAAGGUUAUGGGUCAGAGUCACCAUAUACAAGUUAGAAACAUCAUUUUUGUGUGGACCAGUGACACGAUAGACCCCGGUUAAGGACAUCACUUGAACUAUGGGA